rnacentral:rRNA from 1 species
UACAGAGGUCUCAAGCGUUGUUCGGAUUCAUUGGGCGUAAAGGGUGCGUAGGCGGCGCGGUAAGUCGGGUGUGAAAUUUCGAGGCUUAACUUCGAAACUGCAUUCGAUACUGCCGUGCUUGAGGACUGGAGAGGAGACUGGAAUUUACGGUGUAGCGGUGAAAUGCGUAGAUAUCGUAAGGAAGACCAGUGGCGAAGGCGGGUCUCUGGACAGUUCCUGACGCUGAGGCACGGAAAGCGUGGGGAGCGAACAGG